UACGAAGGGUGCAAGCGUUAAUCGGAAUUACUGGGCGUAAAGCGUGCGCAGGCGGUUUUGUAAGACAGGUGUGAAAUCCCCGGGCUUAACCUGGGAACUGCAUUUGUGACUGCAAGGCUGGAGUGCGGCAGAGGGGGAUGGAAUUCCGCGUGUAGCAGUGAAAUGCGUAGAUAUGCGGAGGAACACCGAUGGCGAAGGCAAUCCCCUGGGCCUGCACUGACGCUCAUGCACGAAAGCGUGGGGAGCAAACAGG
rnacentral:rRNA from 1 species